rnacentral:rRNA from 1 species
CGAGGCUCAACCUCGAGUCUGCAGUGGGUACGGGCAGACUAGAGUGCGGUAGGGGAGAUUGGAAUUCCUGGUGUAGCGGUGGAAUGCGCAGAUAUCAGGAGGAACACCGAUGGCGAAGGCAGAUCUCUGGUCCGUUACUGACGCUGAGGAGCGAAAGGGUGGCGAGCAAACAGGCUUAGAUACCCUGGUAGUCCACCCCGUAAACGUUGGGAACUAGUUGUGGGGUCCAUUCCACGGAUUCCGUGACGCAGCUAACGCAUUAAGUUCCCCGCCUGGGGAGUACGGCCGCAAGGCUAAAACUCAAAGGAAUUGACGGGGACCCGCACAAGCGGCGGAGCAUGCGGAUUAAUUCGAUGCAACGCGAAGAACCUUACCAAGGCUUGACAUAUACGAGAACGGGCCAGAAAUGGUCAACUCUUUGGACACUCGUAAACAGGUGGUGCAUGGUUGUCGUCAGCUCGUGUCGUGAGAUGUUGGGUUAAGUCCCGCAACGAGCGCAACCCUCGUUCUAUGUUGCCAGCACGUAAUGGUGGGAACUCAUGGGAUACUGCCGGGGUCAACUCGGAGGAAGGUGGGGAUGACGUCAAAUCAUCAUGCCCCUUAUGUCUUGGGCUUCACGCAUGCUACAAUGGCCGGUACAAAGGGCUGCAAUACCGUGAGGUGGAGCGAAUCCCAAAAAGCCGGUCCCAGUUCGGAUUGAGGUCUGCAACUCGACCUCAUGAAGUCGGAGUCGCUAGUAAUCGCAGAUCAGCAACGCUGCGGUGAAUACGUUCCCGGGUCUUGUACACACCGCCCGUCAAGUCAUGAAAGUCGGUAACACCUGAAGCCGGUGGCCCAACCCUUGUGGAGGUAGCCU